rnacentral:rRNA from 1 species
AACGAACGCUGGCGGCAUGCCUAACACAUGCAAGUCGAACGAGACCUUCGGGUCUAGUGGCGCACGGGUGCGUAACGCGUGGGAACCUGCCCUUAGGUUCGGAAUAACUCCCCGAAAGGGGUGCUAAUACCGGAUAAUGUCUUCGGACCAAAGAUUUAUCGCCUUUGGAUGGGCCCGCGUUGGAUUAGCUAGUUGGUAGGGUAAAAGCCUACCAAGGCGACGAUCCAUAGCUGGUCUGAGAGGAUGAUCAGCCACACUAGGACUGAGACACGGCCCAGACUCCUACGGGAGGCAGCAGUGGGGAAUAUUGGACAAUGGGCGAAAGCCUGAUCCAGCAAUGCCGCGUGAGUGAUGAAGGCCUUAGGGUUGUAAAGCUCUUUUACCCGGGAUGAUAAUGACAGUACCGGGAGAAUAAGCUCCGACUAACUCCGUG